UAAAAAGGGAGUAAAAAAUGC
rnacentral:piRNA from 1 species